AAAAGUCGUAACAAGGUCUCCGUAGGUGAACCUGCGGAAGGAUCAUUAUUGAAUUCAAAUCAUCUGUGGCUUCGGUCCGGAUGUGCCAACAGGUAACACUGUUGGUAAUUCUAUCCAUAACACCUGUGAACUGUUGGAUGCUUGCAUCCACUUUUAUACUAAACAUUAUUGUAACAAAUGUAGUCUUAUUAUAACUAAUAAAACUUUUAACAACGGAUCUCUUGGCUCUCG
rnacentral:misc_RNA from 1 species